UAUUUAUGGCGUGCAUCUGUUGCACGCCGUCUUUUGCUCAAAAAUUAAACGUAUUUACGGCGUGCUUGUCCUAAAAAACCUAAUUAAACACGACAAUUUUCUCCCAUUUGUAAGUUCUCCUCCUGUCGUUCCUUUUCGCCCAUCAACCCUGCGCUUCCUGUGUUGCCACCAAUACACCACAACCACCAUCCUCGACUCCACCUCUUCACGACUUCGCCGGGCGCCUCAGCUCUCACUCGCCGCCUUCCACUGCUGACCAUGGGCACUAGCUCUCACUCUCGUCGGUAGCCUCCCACAACCCAAAUCAAAAUAUUUCUGUAAGGUACAGGCAGCUUACAAAUAAGCAUUGCUAAAGUCUCACCCAAAUCGAGCUCCGCAGUCGUGGUUGGAAAGCAUUCUUUUGUUUGUAAAAUAACUUAUUGGUGUUGGUCGAACUUAUAUCUGUUGGUUGAAGAAAUAGAAAGUAUUUGUUACAUUGGUUGGUACAUUUUAUUUAUAUAUGAUAAAUGUUUGUGUUAA